GUUACACUAUACUUUGGGAUACCGAAACGGCCGCUACUCGUUAACUCGCUUUUCUUUUCCUCGCAUCUUAUCCUGACUCUCUGUCGCUUGAUUCCAUAAGAAUUCCAAACGAUCGUAUAUAUUUAUCUGAAUUUCUAUCUUUGUAGACACAAUCGGAGGAACAGCACAUCAGCCCCUAUUUGUUUUAUUUCCAUGUUUUAUACGAUUUUGCACGUUGCGAGAAUUCUGUGCAGCUUUGCAUCUUUAAAUGACACAUAGAGUCCAAGUUACAUGGUUACAUGACUGUAGCUCCUUUUUGCUAUGGAAUGUUCCACAAAUUAGGAUAAUGGGGUUUGGAAGAAGUUGCGACGAUCAGGACAUGUUUGGAAUUUUAGAAUCCAAUUUACAUGAUGUUUGGUGUGGCUGAUUUGCGUCGUUAAAUAUUUCACAAACUGGAGAUGUUAGUGCGAAUUUUCAGGAAAUUGACGUAAUUAAGAGAUAUGGGAGUUGGUAGAGGAUAUUGGACAUUAGUCUAUUGCUGCUUAUUGCUGUGCAACUUUUGACAAGUUGAGAUUAUUAAUGUCAUCAAUGUCGCUUCUAUCAAUGAAUCGUAAGAAAAUUGGAUGUGAGGUAGUAGAACUCUUGUUUCAUGGCUGCUUCUGUUACCGCCUGAUAAGUAGUCUAAUAGAUCUUAUUCUAUGACUAUUUAUAUUGUAAUCUGACAAGAAAGUAUUAAUAAGGAAAUUAAGACGAAACUUGAUGCUAUACGAAGAAGAACAAUGUAAAAGAAUUUUAUAUGAACAAACGAUAUGAAAGAAACACAUAUUUCGAACAAUCUUGCUCUUUGUACCUGAUCCUCGCUAGGAUCAUCGUCUCUAACUAAAAUCUAGGUCAGUUACAUUGAAAAAGUUGUAAUACAAAUGACAAAAAAAAAGAACAAAUUCCUUUUUCUUUAAAGAACCAUCUUUUUCUGCAAAUAUCCAUUUUGCUAGGAAUAAUUUGGUGUCUAACGAUAGAUGGUGUGUAAAAGAUGCUGCAAACAUUGAGAUAACAAUCGGCAUACUUCGGAAACGUAAUAUUUACGGCAGGAGAAAGAGAGAUAUUCGCCACGGGAACGUUAGAGAAAUAUACAAGAAGAUGGGCCACGAUUUUGUAACACCGUAGUAACGGCGUGGAUUUUUAGAAAGAAACCGGAACGCAGCGAGAAUAUAUCUAUAAACGAGCCGAGAGAGCAAUGAAAGUCGAAGCCUGUAAGAAAUUUCAGAGAAACCUGAGAACUCUCUAAGCGAGAUUUUAUUUCAUGGAACGUGAAAUACAGGCCUUGGAGGAGGUUCAAGGAUCUUUCUCGUUCAAUCUUUAAAUCCACUCUGUUUGUUUUAUUAACGCCUUUAUAAAUAUUACAAUUUUUAUGUGGCUCAAACUUAAUCAAACAUAAAUUAGCACUAUUAUUUAUCAUGUUGUUAGAGUUGGUUCAUUUCACUUUCAUCUAAAUCUAUUCCAUCUUAUUAUUUUUUUUCUAAAUAUUCAAGUUUACGUCGUUUAAACUUAAUCUCGAUUUUUAUUCAAACAUAAUCAAACCUGAAUUAAGCUAGUCGUCGUAAUAUCGUUGGAAUUGUUUAAUAAUAUUUCAAUUUCGUCUACAUCAACUUUUUACUUUUCUACAUUUAUUGUCAAGAAUGUUUUUCAGAUGUUGAAAAUUUGAUAUCAAACCUAAGUCCAAACUAAAUUAAACCAAGCUAUUUGUCAUGAUAUUGUUAGCUUUGGUUUAUUUCAGUUGAUGAUUCGCUAGCUUUUUCAAAAUGCAGCGUUUGAAUCAUGCUUCCAUAUUUUUUUACUUAGCUCAAACUUGAAUUGGUUUACUUCAAACCGUAUCAAACUUCAUCAAACUUAGCUUGACUGUUGAUCGCUAUUUCUUAAAAUUGGUAUACUCUUUUAAUCUGAUUGAAAGUUUGAUGGGUAUAAUUUUGGAUGAAAAUUUAGGAGUGUUUGAAUAAGGAGCUAAAAAUUUGUCAAUAACGGUCUGAAUCAUGUUGAUGACAAUGCGCCACGUAUUUUGGUAUUCGUUUACAUUGUGCUACACAGGAAAAUAUGUUUUCUGAGCGAUGAACCAGCGAGAGAAAUACCAAAAUAAAUUUAUUACUCAUACGUUUUGGACUAAUUCCCGGGCCCUAAUGGCAUUCGCGAAUUACAGCAAUGCGAUACCAUAAUUUUUAAAUUAACACCAGUCGAAUUGGCACUAGUUCAAUUUUUAACAAAAUCUUUCCCCCAACUCUUUCCUCCAAAAGUAAACUUUCUCCUCUAUCAUCGUAUCAUUAAUUAUAAUUUUUAUUCUAGAAUGAAAACGAAGAAAUCUUUCAAAGAAGUAACUACAUAUAUUAAGAGACUAUAAUUCAGAAAAAUCUUAAGACCAAGAAAUUCCAAUUGAAGGAAGAAAAUCCAACACACAGUCAGUAUAGGACAACAUGGAAGAACUAACUAGCCACUUGGAAUAGAGAAGAAAAAUGACGUUUCAAGAGAAGCUUGAUAACUACACAUUUAUAAAAAAUUUCAAUAUGCAGAAGUGUACAAAGUUCAUAUACUGUACGAAAAUAUCGAGAAUCAUGCUCAAAAUAUCAAAAGCGAAGUAGCUGUCGUAUUAUUUCAAAUGAUACGGAUACAAAAUUCUACUUUGGUUCCACUCCUUUACACCUGUUCGUAAAGAUACAAAUUUACUUAAAAAUCCACAGUCCAUUGGGUUGGCAACUAAGUGAUUGAGGAUUUUGUCAUUAGAUGGUAUUGAUACUAAUAAUAAUAAUACAAAUUCCAUAUAGAGAUCUGAAUUUAAAUUAAUCCUGAAGAGGAGAACUUUCAAGAAGCAACAUCAAAGUAUGAAGCAACCAGCUCAAACGAUAAAUCUUAAAAGAAAGCUUCCAGACAAAUAAGUGAAUACAUUAAGAGUGAAUAAUUAUAUAAAUUUUGAGGAGGAGAAAUUCCAAGGGCUGAGACAGUUGGACGAAAAGAGUCCAGCACAAUGGCUUCCUGAAUGCUGAGCUUGCGUGGGCGUAACCGCGGUGCGAUCAUAUACUCGGCGAGCUUUUUACAUAAAGCCACGUGCACGCAUAUAAGUCUUUCUAAAAAUAGAAAUUUGAGCAAGAUACUAUUAAUAGUGGAUGAGUGUGUUGCCACAGUGGAUGUGUACGUGGCUCUCACUCGAUUUUGCUCGCUGCUCGUUACCGACCAGCUUUUCGGAAAGACCGCCCCUAACCAAAUGAAAGAAAAACGCAAUUCGAUCCUUAGCCACCACUAGCCCAUUUUCGCGCCGAAAUAAAAGUCCAACUAGCCUUCCUCCUAUAGUUUCGACCUUGUUCGUCAUUUCAUCGUACGAGACACCAAAAUUAUAAAUUUCAUCCUUUCGAUAUGAACAUCGAGAAUGAUAAGCAUAAACGUCGAAUUUUCCUAGAUUUUUCUGAUGUUCGAUCGAUGUUCCGAUGAUGUUCUAUUGCUCGAUAAUUGAAGACAAGAAUAAUAUUUGCCAAAGUCGAAGAAGUGACAGGAAAAAUAUUUUUUUUUUUUUUUUGUAAACGACUCAAGAUAUUUUUGAUAUUGCCAGAAGGAUGAGGAGUUAAAGAUUUAUUCUUCGCUUGAAUUGCAUUUAUGAUUUUGCUCGAGUUUAAAUAUUUGUUAAAUAAAUAGGUAAUUAAGCAAAAAUACGCGAUGGAAAAUUCGCCAUCACGAUUUUCGAAUUAGAAAUAAACCGUAGUAUUUUAUUUUAGAUAGAAAGUUGAGUCAUAAUUUUUACUUAGACCAGUUUAUGAUCUCGCUUCUUUUUCGUUUCUUUCAAUUGGAUUUUAUCUUUCUAAGUAUUUUUUUUUUUUUUUAAUUUUUUAUUCUCUUAGGAAGAAAACCACACGACCAUUUAGAUAUAUCACGGGUGAUCCCUUAUGAAACAUUCAACCCUAACGUUUUCCGUUGCUAUUUUAACGCGUGGACAAUAAAAAAUGUAUAAGUACACGUAUAUAAUUAGAACGUUGUCCGGAGACACGUGACACGUCACCGCGGAGCGUUGUCUCGCUGAUUGACAACGAAAUUCGAUUAUGCGCCUGAGAAUGGAUGUCCGUUCAAUCGCGUCAAAAAUAGCGGAAACCACAGCAAAGAGGAAGUGCUUAAAAAUUCAUCGCUACACGAAAAGUGCUCGCUUUAUAUAUAUUUAACCGAGAGGUGCAACGAUCUCGUCGUGUAUCCAUUAUGCAACGCGACUGCAAGGAAAAUUCAUGAGAUGUUCGAUAAAAAGCUUAGAAAAAUCAAGUAGGUAAUCAUACAGCAUAAUGUAUUAAAAUACUCGAUUCCUAAUAAUUUCCAUGGAUGAAUCUCUUUUCGGUAUUGCUAUUUUUAUUAUUUUAUUAGUUUUGUUAGUUUGUUGUUUGUUUAAUUAAUUAAUAAUCAAAUUCUCCGUUAUUUUCGCUUUAAACGAAUAACAUAGCGUAAUACGCUAAUUUGUAGUUGUCCUGAAAGAAUUUUUUUCGAAAAGAUAUAACCUAAAAACUUCUGCAAUAAAUUUUCAUAGUACAUCGAGUAAUGGGUGAAGUCAAAGUUAAACUGUUAUCGCUGUUCGAAGCAAAUCUCUUCAGGCGAUGAAACUCGGCCGAUAACAGGAGAGAUUUUGCACAACAUCAGAAAGGGCCCCAUUAGCAGCUAUUAAAUUGAGCCAGUGCACAUAAUGCAGAAAUUCUUGACUUGUUCCACUUGACCGUCUCUCUCCUUCGCUCCUCUUCACAGGCUGAAAUUAUUUCCGUCCCACUGCGGGUGUUACAUGAUCACGGAAGAGCUGACUUCGAGCCCAUCCCUCGAAUAUCAUCCAUUCAGUUCCCUAGUUCAUAGAAACCUGCGCCAUUUCUCUUCCAAUCUAACCUUAUUUUCUUUCGUAAUCCAAGGAAAAUUACGAAACAAAAUUUUCUACGUUACCCAAUCGUUAUAUAAACCUAGAAAAAUGCUGAUCUUUGGCUACGUUUAACUUGGUUUAACUGUGUUUAAACUAAACUUGGUAUAUCAAUUUGGACAUAAGCUUUCCCUUAAAGCCAACCUUAAUUCUUUAAUAAGCCCGUAAGAAACCUACCACAAAAUACUCCAUUAUCGUACCAACCUCUAAACCUAAGAAAACACUGACAUCUCUCAUUUGCACAAUUGCCCUUCGACUUCUACGCGUUUCUCUAACCAAAGAUUCAUUUUUCCACGCGAAAUCGCGACCAGACCUCGCAGGCCCAUUUAUCUCCCAGCAGAUAAAGUAGAAACCAUGUAAAAAUACCGCGUGUUUACAAACACGAAGCGAUAUAAAUAAAAAGAAUAAUCGGCACACUUUCCCUAAAU